GGCAGAGCCUGUGCCCCAGAGAAGCCUUCACCCAGUCAGAGUAGAAACAGAACGUUAAGGCAUCUCCAUUCCCUCCAUCGUGGACUGUGCCGAGAUCCAUUCAUAGGAAUCCUCAGAAGUUUAUAGAGGGUUGGAAUACUAGACCCCCACCAAGGUUGCCAAUCAAAAUUUUACCUUUGUAUUGGCCUUUUCCCCUUCCUUGUUUUACUCUCCUCUCACUCCUUCUCUCUGGAGUCAAGAUUCUGGUCAACUAGAAGGACCUGAACUCAAACUGAGCCCUUGGAAGAGAAAACAGACUAAAACCAUGGUGAUAAGAACAUCUCCACCCUACAAAACGUAGCAUCCUGAAAGGGGACUGCUUAUUUAUCUGAUGACAGAAGGAUUGCAUUGUGGUGAAGUGAUGAUCAGACCAGGCAUACAAAGUGCUUAUGCUUUUCCAGGCUGUCAUGAGUGGAGGGUUGUGAUAAGGAACAUGCAAAAGUUGAAGUGUUAGAUAUCUAAGUUUCUUAAAUCUGCCAACUCAAGUCAUAUGGAGCAAACCAGGAGCUUCCAUGGCUGAGUUAAAGAUAUUCAUAUUUCUUGAAUAUAAGAUAAGAAUACUAUGGAGAAAACCAAGUCAUGGAUUUAAUCAUGAGUGGCAAGGCUCAAAAAAUACUGAACACAUAAUUUUUAAAAACAUUUUAUGCCAAGUCCUCAGGCCUCUAAGGAAAAUAGUACAAGUCAGAGGUCUGUGGUUGGGUCAUUCUACUAGAUUACUGUGAGGAUCUGGAACCUCCAAAUUUCUCAGUAAUCCCCUGGACAGGGUGAAGGACUUUAACCCCUGCCACUUGUUGGAAGAAAGCAGUGCAAGAUACGGCUUGCCUUUGUCAGGACCCAUGUAUGCUUCUGUCUGCUUCUGCUUAUUGCCUCUUGGACCAAUAAUUAGAGUCACUUCUCAGCACAUACCACCAGGACAAGAUAAUUCCUGCUGUAAGGAAAGGCCUUAUUUGUAGAAUAAUUGGAGUUCCUAGGGAAUAAAGACAAGAAGGAAAACAGAGGAACACAUGAGGGAAGAGAACUUAGUGAUGCUGGACUUGUGAUCAGAAUGAAAGACGUCAUAGGGAGAAAUGUAUUGACAUGAGGAUAUUUCUUUAUGAAUUGUGCUUAAUUUUCUUACCUGGGAGAAAUGAAGCUGGCCGUAACACUCAUCUAGGAUGGUUGUUAACUUAUGAACAUGAUACUGGCCUUACUGAAGACAAGGUGAUGUGCUGUGAUUAUCACAGUAUGGUACUGAAGAAGGACACAGAAGGCUACAACAAUAAUGAAAUGCAAGCAAAAGCACAAGAUAUCAGAAGCUGCAAUGGAAAGUUCUCAGUUCUCACCAGUUUCUGGCUCUAAGUCAGUUCACAGACAGAAGAGGAUGCUCUGUUCUCUUGAGGAAGAUCUCUGCAGUAUCUCUUCCAUAAUAUGAAAUAAAUAUUUCUCCAGUAUUUUUUAAGCAAUGUGUAGGCAUUUAUCAAGGAACAAUGCAUUGAAGGAAUAGAAAUUAUGAAACCAUAUGAAGGCUUUUAAAUAGGAUCUGAUAAUAUCAGGGGAUCAAAUGAUAGCAUGAUCCUCCCAUAAGAGAGAGGGUUUAUUUUGGCAAGGUAAAGAUUUGUCUAUCUAUAUAGCUAUUCAUCUAUGCAUCUAUCCAUCCUAUGAAGUCCUAAAAGAAGUUCACGUUACCUGAGACCAGUGGAUUUAUGCACACACGCUAUUGUUAUUUCUUUAGUUCUUGUGUACAUAAUUGGGAUUGAUAUACAUAAUAUCUAAUGGAAUGUCCAUAUCUGUUUUCUGACUGGAGUUAAGACCUGUCAUGGUAGGAAGGGCUAAUUGGUAAUCCCUAAAUACUGUGUGUGCAUUUAGCACCAUGCGCUAGUGGUAAAGAACCCACCUGCCAGUGCCGGAAACAUACGAGAUUCAGGUUCAACCCCUGGGUCAGGAAGAUCCCCUGGAGAAAGAAAUGGCAACCCACUUAAGUGUUCUUGCCUGGAGAAUCUCAUGGACAGAGGAGCCUGGCAGUCUACAGUACGAGGCCAAAAAGAGUUGGGCACAACAGAAGAAAGUUUUAUAAUCCCUAAACAUGACACCCAAUUCAGCCAAGAAGUAAAUCAGAAGUUAUAGGCAAUACUAUACCCCAGGCUUCCGAGGUGGCACAGUUGGUAAGGAAUACUCCUGCCAAUGCAGGGAGACUCGAAUGACACGGGUUUGAUCCUUAGAGUACAAAAUGGUAACCUAUUCCAGUAUUCUUGCCUGGGACAUCCCAUGGACAGAGGAGCCUAGUGGGCUACAGUCCAUAGUUGCAAAGAGUCAGAUGUGACUGAGUGUGUGCACGUGCAUGCACACACACACAUACACACACACGCACACACGAACACAUAUUCCAGUGAAAAUGCAGAAAAGAGGAAGAAGCUAUUUGAAAAACUUAAAGGAUUUUGGGCUGUUGGUAUCUGCCAUUUCCCCAUUUGACACUCUGGUGUGUCCUUGUUAAGAAAUCAAUAACACAUGGAGUGUGGUGAAUCACACUAGAUAAAUACAUCUUAUACCAAGACAUCAGAACCCUACUCACAGUUGCUGUCGGGAUGUGGUAUUGGUAACAAUGUAAAAUAUGUUAUGGGCUACUAAUCUGGCAAUGGUUGUCUCUUCAAUUCCCUCCGUAAGAAGAAUCAAAUGUUCACAUUCCCUCCCUAUGUUCCAGUCGGCAUGUAGACUACAGUAAACUAAGUUAUCUGAACAUAGUAGUCUUUAUUGUAUUGAUGACAUUUUACUUAUUAGACUUGACAAAGACUCAUGAUGCCCUGUCAAUUAGAUUUUUAUACCCAAGAAUAUAUGCUUCUACCCCACACCCUCAAAUCUUGAGGGCUUUGAACCUAACCGUGGAGUGAGCAUAGUAUUGACUCUCUUGUAUCCUUUACAAAAGUUACCUGCUUGUGAAGUGUGUGUUCCUUGUUCCUUCUCAG
ensembl:lncRNA